GUCUAUUUGUGUGUGUGUGGUGUUCAGCACUAAGGUCAGGAUUGCUAGUGUGUAGACGGUGUUCAGCACUAAGGACAGGAAUGUUAGCAU
rfam:Branchiostoma floridae genomic scaffold BRAFLscaffold_150, whole genome shotgun sequence.